rnacentral:pre_miRNA from 1 species
UGGAAAGAUUAUUGUAUUCGACUGUAUUCACGGCGUGAAACAGGGGAUUACAUUGUUUUUAAACGGAAAGUGAAUCAAUUAACAUAAUCGACUCCU